UGCAUGAAGCCGGAAUCGCUAGUAAUCGCGGAUCAGAAUGCCGCGGUGAAUACGUUCCCGGGUCUUGUACACACCGCCCGUCACACCAUGGGAGUCGAUAACGCCCGAAGUCAGUGACCCAACCGUAAAGGAGGGAGCUGCCGAAGGCGGGAUGGAUAACUGGGGUGAAGUCGUAACAAGGUACC
rnacentral:rRNA from 1 species